GACGAACGCUGGCGGCGUGCUUAACACAUGCAAGUCGAACGGUGAAAGCGGAGCUUGCUCCGCUGGAUCAGUGGCGAACGGGUGAGUAACACGUGGGCAACCUGCCCCUCACUUCGGGAUAACUCCGGGAAACCGGGGCUAAUACCGGAUAUGACCUCCUUGGGCAUCCUUGGAGGUGGAAAGGUUUUCGGUGAGGGAUGGGCCCGCGGCCUAUCAGCUUGUUGGUGAGGUAGUGGCGCACCAAGGCGACGACGGGUAGUCGGCCUGAGGGGGCGACCGGCCACACUGGGACUGAGACACGGCCCAGACUCCUACGGGAGGCAGCAGUGGGGAAUAUUGCGCAAUGGGCGCAAGCCUGACGCAGCAACGCCGCGUGCGGGAUGACGGCCUUCGGGAUGUAAACCGCUUUCAGCAGGGAAGAAGCCGCAAGGUGACGGUACCUGCAGAAGAAGCACCGGCUAACUACGUGCCAGCCGCCGCAGUAA
rnacentral:rRNA from 1 species